rnacentral:rRNA from 1 species
UACGGAGGGUGCGAGCGUUGUUCGGAAUUACUGGGCGUAAAGCGCGUGUAGGCGGCCUGCUAAGUCUGAUGUGAAAGCCCGGGGCUCACCCCCGGAAGUGCAUUGGAAACUGGUAGGCUCGAGUCCCGGAGAGGAGGGUGGAAUUCCUGGUGUAGCGGUGAAAUGCGUAGAUAUCAGGAGGAACACCGGUGGCGAAGGCGGCCCUCUGGACGGUGACUGACGCUGAGACGCGAAAGCGUGGGGAGCAAACAGG